GUCUACAGCAAAGCCACUCUGACCAUGCAAGAUCUUGUCUGAUCUUGGAAGCUAAGCAGGAUCGGGCCCGGUUAGUACUUGGAUGGGAGACCACCUAAGAAGACCAGGUACUGUAGAUG
rnacentral:rRNA from 1 species